rnacentral:rRNA from 1 species
GGCGAACGGGUGAGUAAUGCGUCGGAACGUACCGAGUAAUGGGGGAUAACGCACCGAAAGGUGUGCUAAUACCGCAUACGCCCUGAGGGGGAAAGUGGGGGAUCGCAAGACCUCACGUUAUUCGAGCGGCCGACGUCUGAUUAGCUAGUUGGUGGGGUAAUGGCUCACCAAGGCGACGAUCAGUAGCGGGUCUGAGAGGAUGAUCCGCCACACUGGAACUGAGACACGGUCCAG